CUGCACGUAGCCUCCCGGGCACAUCUGAUUAUUAUUUCUCAUGAAGUUAGUAGCCCCAAAGCUCGUGCUAUACAACAUUCGCCGUUAAGUGUUGCAGUUAUAGUCCCUUUUGUACCUCUUUUCCAUGGCUUAUCUGUGUCAAAUCAACGGCUAAAUCU